UACGGGGGGGCAAGCGGUUGUUCGGAAUUACGUGGGCGUAAAGGGCGCGGUAGGCGGUUUGCUAAGUUGGAUGUGAAAACUCUGGGCUUAACCCAGAGCCUGCAUCCAAAACUGGCAAACUUGAGUACUGGAGGGGAAAGCGGAAUUCCUGGUGUAGCGGUGAAAUGCGUAGAUAUCAGGAGGAACACCGGUGGCGAAGGCGGCUUCUGGACAGUAACUGACGCUGAGGCGCGAAGGCCAGGGGAGCAAACGGG
rnacentral:rRNA from 1 species